rnacentral:rRNA from 1 species
AGUAAAAAGUAGAAUAAUAGAUUUGAAAUAUUUAUUAUAUAGAUUUAAAGAGAUAAUCAUGGAGUAUAAAAAUUAAAUUUAAUAAAUUUAAUAUAACUAUUAAUAGAAUUAGGUUACUAAUAAAUUAAUAACAAUUAAUUUUAAAACCUAAAGGUAAACCUUUAUAUUAAUAAUGUUUUUUUUUAUUUUUAUAAUUAAGAAUAAUUAUUAAUAAUAAUAAACUAAGUGAACUGAAACAUCUAAGUAACUUAAGGAUAAUAAAUCAACAGAGAUAUUAUGAGUAUUGGUGAGAGAAAAUAAUAAAGGUCUAAUAAGUAUUAUGUGAAAAAAAUGUAAGAAAAUAGGAUAACAAAUUCUAAGACUAAAUACUAUUAAUAAGUAUAGUAAGUACCGUAAGGGAAAGUAUGAAAAUGAUUAUUUUAUAAGCAAUCAUGAAUAUAUUAUAUUAUAUUAAUGAUGUACCUUUUGUAUAAUGGGUCAGCAAGUAAUUAAUAUUAGUAAAACAAUAAGUUAUAAAUAAAUAGAAUAAUAUAUAUAUAUAAAAAAAUAUAUUAAAAUAUUUAAUUAAUAUUAAUUGACCCGAAAGCAAACGAUCUAACUAUGAUAAGAUGGAUAAACGAUCGAACAGGUUGAUGUUGCAAUAUCAUCUGAUUAAUUGUGGUUAGUAGUGAAAGACAAAUCUGGUUUGCAGAUAGCUGGUUUUCUAUGAAAUAUAUGUAAGUAUAGCCUUUAUAAAUAAUAAUUAUUAUAUAAUAUUAUAUAAAUAUUAUAUAAAGAAUGGUACAGCAAUUAAUAUAUAUUAGGGAACUAUUAAAGUUUUAUUAAUAAUAUUAAAUCUCGAAAUAUUUAAUUAUAUAUAAUAAAGAGUCAGAUUAUGUGCGAUAAGGUAAAUAAUCUAAAGGGAAACAGCCCAGAUUAAGAUAUAAAGUUCCUAAUAAAUAAUAAGUGAAAUAAAUAUUAAAAUAUUAUAAUAUAAUCAGUUAAUGGGUUUGACAAUAACCAUUUUUUAAUGAACAUGUAACAAUGCACUGAUUUAUAAUAAAUAAAAAAAAUAAUAUUUAAAAUCAAAUAUAUAUAUAUUUGUUAAUAGAUAAUAUACGGAUCUUAAUAAUAAGAAUUAUUUAAUUCCUAAUAUGGAAUAUUAUAUUUUUAUAAUAAUAAUAAAAAUAUAAAUACUGAAUAUCUAAAUAUUAUUAUUACUUUUUUUUUAAUAAUAAUAAUAUGGUAAUAGAACAUUUAAUGAUAAUAUAUAUUAGUUAUUAAUUAAUAUAUGUAUUAAUUAAAUAGAGAAUGCUGACAUGAGUAACGAAAAAAAGGUAUAAACCUUUUCACCUAAAACAUAAGGUUUAACUAUAAAAGUACGGCCCCUAAUUAAAUUAUAUAAGAAUAUAAAUAUAUUUAAGAUGGGAUAAUCUAUAUUAAUAAAAAUUUAUCUUAAAAUAUAUAUAUUAUUAAUAAUUAUAUUAAUUAAUUAAUAAUAUAUAUAAUUAUAUUAUAUAUUAUAUUUUUAUAUAUAAUAUAUAUAAUAUAAACUAAUAAAGAUCAGGAAAUAAUUAAUGUAUACCGUAAUGUAGACCGACUCAGGUAUGUAAGUAGAGAAUAUGAAGGUGAAUUAGAUAAUUAAAGGGAAGGAACUCGGCAAAGAUAGCUCAUAAGUUAGUCAAUAAAGAGUAAUAAGAACAAAGUUGUACAACUGUUUACUAAAAACACCGCACUUUGCAGAAACGAUAAGUUUAAGUAUAAGGUGUGAACUCUGCUCCAUGCUUAAUAUAUAAAUAAAAUUAUUUAACGAUAAUUUUAUUAAAUUUAGGUAAAUAGCAGCCUUAUUAUGAGGGUUAUAAUGUAGCGAAAUUCCUUGGCCUAUAAUUGAGGUCCCGCAUGAAUGACGUAAUGAUACAACAACUGUCUCCCCUUUAAGCUAAGUGAAAUUGAAAUCGUAGUGAAGAUGCUAUGUACCUUCAGCAAGACGGAAAGACCCUAUGCAGCUUUACUGUAAUUAGAUAGAUCGAAUUAUUGUUUAUUAUAUUCAGCAUAUUAAGUAAUCCUAUUAUUAGGUAAUCGUUUAGAUAUUAAUGAGAUACUUAUUAUAAUAUAAUGAUAAUUCUAAUCUUAUAAAUAAUUAUUAUUAUUAUUAUUAAUAAUAAUAAUAUGCUUUCAAGCAUAGUGAUAAAACAUAUUUAUAUGAUAAUCACUUUACUUAAUAGAUAUAAUUCUUAAGUAAUAUAUAAUAUAUAUUAUAUAUAUAUUAUAUAUAAUAUAAGAGACAAUCUCUAAUUGGUAGUUUUGAUGGGGCGUCAUUAUCAGCAAAAGUAUCUGAAUAAGUCCAUAAAUAAAUAUAUAAAAUUAUUGAAUAAAAAAAAUAAUAUAUAUUAUAUAUAUUAAUUAUAAAUUGAAAUAUGUUUAUAUAAAUUUAUAUUUAUUGAAUAUAUUUUAGUAAUAGAUAAAAAUAUGUACAGUAAAAUUGUAAGGAAAACAAUAAUAACUUUCUCCUCUCUCGGUGGGGGUUCACACCUAUUUUUAAUAGGUGUGAACCCCUCUUCGGGGUUCCGGUUCCCUUUCGGGUCCCGGAACUUAAAUAAAAAUGGAAAGAAUUAAAUUAAUAUAAUGGUAUAACUGUGCGAUAAUUGUAACACAAACGAGUGAAACAAGUACGUAAGUAUGGCAUAAUGAACAAAUAACACUGAUUGUAAAGGUUAUUGAUAACGAAUAAAAGUUACGCUAGGGAUAACAGGGUAAUAUAACGAAAGAGUAGAUAUUGUAAGUUAUGUUUGCCACCUCGAUGUCGACUCAACAUUUCCUCUUGGUUGUAAAAGCUAAGAAGGGUUUGACUGUUCGUCAAUUAAAAUGUUACGUGAGUUGGGUUAAAUACGAUGUGAAUCAGUAUGGUUCCUAUCUGCUGAAGGAAAUAUUAUCAAAUUAAAUCUCAUUAUUAGUACGCAAGGACCAUAAUGAAUCAACCCAUGGUGUAUCUAUUGAUAAUAAUAUAAUAUAUUUAAUAAAAAUAAUACUUUAUUAAUAUAUUAUCUAUAUUAGUUUAUAUUUUAAUUAUAUAUUAUCAUAGUAGAUAAGCUAAGUUGAUAAUAAAUAAAUAUUGAAUACAUAUUAAAUAUGAAGUUGUUUUAAUAAGAUAAUUAAUCUGAUAAUUUUAUACUAAAAUUAAUAAUUAUAGGUUUUAUAUAUUAUUUAUAAAUAUAAUAUAAUAAUUAUUAUUAUUAAUAAAAAAAAAUAUUAAUUAUAAUAUUAAUAAAAUACUAAUUUAUCAGUUAUCUAUAUAAUAUCUAAUCUAUUAUUCUAUAUACU